rnacentral:rRNA from 1 species
UCAAGUUAUUAAGGGUGCAGGGCGGAUGCCUUGGCACUAGGAGCCGAUGAAGGACGUGAUAAGCUGCGAUAAGCUUCGGGGAGUUGCACGUAAACUUUGAUCCGAAGAUUUCCGAAUGAGGAAACUCACUUAGAGUAAUGUCUAAGUAUCAUUAAGUGAAUACAUAGCUUAAUGAGGGGAACUCAGGGAACUGAAACAUCUAAGUACCUGAAGGAAGAGAAAGAAAUUCGAUUCCGUAAGUAGCGGCGAGCGAACGCGGAUUAGCCCAAACCAAUAAAGUUUUCUUUAUUGGGGUUGCGGACAUAUCAUAACGAAGAGGUAUCGUAAUUGAAGAGGUUUGGAAAGACCCACCACAGAAGGUAAUAGUCCUGUAUGUUAAACGAAAAGACUUUAGAUAUGAUCCAGAGUACCACGGGACACGUGAAACCCUGUGGGAAGCAGGAGGGACCACCCUCCAAGGCUAAAUACUACCUAGUGACCGAUAGCGUAUAGUACCGUGAGGGAAAGGUGAAAAGAACCCCGGGAGGGGAGUGAAAUAGAACCUGAAACCCUGCACUUACAAGCUGUGGAAGCACAUUUCUUGUGUGACCGCGUACUUUUUGUAGAACGGGCCAACGAGUUACGUUAAGUAGCAAGGUUAAGCACUUAAGGUGCGGAGCCGUAGCGAAAGCGAGUUUUAACUGAGCGUUCAGUUACUUGACGUAGACCCGAAACCGGGCGACCUACCCAUGAGCAGGAUGAAGCGAAAGUAAAAUUUCGUGGAGGUCCGAACCCACGAGCGUUGAAAAGCUCGGGGAUGACUUGUGGGUAGCGGUGAAAUUCCAAUCGAGCCCGGAGAUAGCUGGUUCUCCCCGAAAUAGCUUUAGGGCUAGCCUCAAGGUGAGAGAUACGGAGGUAGAGCACUGAAUGUCCUAGGGGGUAUUGCACCUACCGAAGACUAUCAAACUCCGAAUGCCGUCAUCUUAUACUUGGGAGUCAGACUGUGGGUGAUAAGAUUCAUAGUCGAAAGGGCAACAGCCCAGAUCGUCAGCUAAGGUCCCUAAAUGUAAGUUAAGUGGUAAAGGAUGUGGGAUUGCACAGACAACCAGGAUGUUGGCUUAGAAGCAGCCACUCAUUCAAAGAGUGCGUAAUAGCUCACUGGUCGAGUGAUCCUGCGCCGAAGAUUUCCGGGGCUAAAACUUACUACCGAAGCUACGGCAUCAUUAUGAUGGGUAGGGGAGCUUCCCAUACGGGUUGAAGCAUGACCGUAAGGACAUGUGGACAGUAUGGGAGUGAGAAUGUUGGCAUGAGUAGCGAGAUGUGGGUGAGAAUCCCACAGGCCGUAAACCCAAGGUUUCCAGGGGAAGGUUCGUCCGCCCUGGGUUAGUCGGGACCUAAGCUGAGGCCGAAAGGCGUAGGUGAUGGACAACAGGUUGAUAUUCCUGUACUACCGAUAACCGUUUGAGAGAAGGGAUGACACAGUAGGAUAAGCUAAGCACACUGUUGGUUAUGUGUGCCCAAGCAUUGAGGCAGUCAAAGUAGGCAAAUCCGCUUUGAUAAUGCUGGGAUGUGAUGGGGAGCGAAAUUUAGUAGCGAAGUAGCUGAUUUCACACUGUCAAGAAAAGUCUCUAUCGAGGUUAAAGGUACCCGUACCGCAAACCGACACAGGUGGGUGAGGAGAGUAUCCUAAGGCCAGCGAGAGAACUGUUGUUAAGGAACUCGGCAAAAUGACCCCGUAACUUAGGGAUAAGGGGUGCCACCAUCAGGUGGCCGCAGAGAAUAGGCCCAAGCGACUGUUUACCAAAAACAUAGGUUUCUGCUAAGUCGCAAGACGAUGUAUAGGAGCUGACGCCUGCCCGGUGCUGGAAGGUUAAGGGGAUCUGUUAGAGCAAUCGAAGCAGUGAACUUAAGCCCCAGUAAACGGCGGCCGUAACUAUAACGGUCCUAAGGUAGCGAAAUUCCUUGUCGGGUAAGUUCCGACCCGCACGAAAGGCGUAACGAUUUGGGCACUGUCUCAACAACAGACUCGGUGAAAUUGUAAUUCCGGUGAAGAUGCCGGAUACCUGCGACAGGACGGAAAGACCCCAUGGAGCUUUACUGUAGCUUGACAUUGGGUCUUGGUACUACAUGUACAGGAUAGGUGGGAGGCUUUGAAACCAGGACGCCAGUUUUGGCGGAGCCAUCCUUGGGAUACCACCCUUGUAGUACUGGGACUCUAACCAUAGGCCAUGAAUCUGGUCUUGGGACACUGUCAGGUGGGCAGUUUGACUGGGGCGGUCGCCUCCCAAAAGGUAACGGAGGCGCUCAAAGGUUCUCUCAGUACGGUCGGAAAUCGUACGUAGAGUGUAAAGGCAAAAGAGAGCUUGAUUGCAAGACAUACAGGUCGAGCAAGGAUGAAAAUCGGACUUAGUGAUCCGGUGGUUCUGCGUGGAAGGGCCAUCGCUCAACGGAUAAAAGCUACCCUGGGGAUAACAGGCUUAUCUCCCCCAAGAGUCCACAUCGACGGGGAGGUUUGGCACCUCGAUGUCGGCUCAUCACAUCCUGGGGCUGUAGUAGGUCCCAAGGGUUGGGCUGUUCGCCCAUUAAAGUGGUACGCGAGCUGGGUUCAGAACGUCGUGAGACAGUUCGGUCCCUAUCCGUCGCAGGCGUAGGAAAUUUGAGAAGACCUGUCCUUAGUACGAGAGGACCGGGAUGGACGUACCUCUGGUGUACCAGUUGUUCUGCCAAGGGCAUGGCUGGGUAGCUAUGUACGGAAUGGAUAAGCGCUGAAAGCAUCUAAGCGCGAAGCCAACUUCAAGAUAAGAUUUCCCACCGCAAGGGUAAGACCCCAGAAAGACUAUCUGGUUGAUAGGUCGAAGGUGUAAGUGCAGCAAUGUAUUUAGCUUAUCGAUACUAAUAGGUCGAGGACUUGACCAA